GAGCCCCGACCACCGCCCCGCGCAGAUCGGACCGCCAUGCGCGCCCUGCUGCCGCUGCUGCGCACGGGCCGGGGCUGGUGCGCGGCCGCCUCCGUAGCCGCGCGCCUGCCGUGGGGAGCGAGCGCAGGGCCCGGGCCGCGCCGCGCCAUGGCCCUGUACCGCACGGAGGAGCGCGGCCAGCCGCACUCGCCCGGCUACCGCCUCUUCUUCAAGAAUGUAGCUGGUCACUACAUUUCCCCUUUUCAUGAUAUUCCUCUGAAGGUGGACUCUGCAGAGGAAAAUGGCAUUCCUACAAAGAGAGCACGAAAUGAUGAAUAUGAGAAUUUGUUUAAUAUGGUUGUAGAAGUACCACGGUGGACAAAUGCUAAAAUGGAGAUUGCCACAGAGGAGCCAUUGAAUCCCAUUAAGCAAGAUAUAAAGGAUGGCAGGCUGCGCUAUGUGGCGAAUAUCUUUCCUCACAAGGGUUAUAUAUGGAAUUAUGGUGCUCUCCCUCAGACUUGGGAAGAUCCCCAUCGAAAAGACAAGAACACAGACUGCUGUGGAGAUAACGAUCCUAUUGAUAUUUGUGAAAUAGGCUCAAAGAUUUUUUCACGUGGAGAGGUUAUUCAUGUGAAGAUCCUUGGAAUUUUGGCUCUCAUUGAUCAGGGGGAAACAGAUUGGAAGUUAAUCGCUAUCAGUGUGAAUGAUCCUGAAGCCUCAAAGUUCCAUGAUAUUGAUGAUGUUAAGAAAUACAAACCAGGUUACCUGGAAGCUACGCUAAAUUGGUUUAGAUUUUAUAAGGUGCCCGAAGGAAAACCAGAGAACGAGUUUGCUUUUAAUGGAGAAUUCAGAAACAAGGCUUUUGCUCUUGAAGUUAUUAAGUCUACUCAUGAAUGUUGGAAAGCACUGCUUAUGAAGAAGAGUGAUGGAGGGACUAUAAAUUGCACAAAUGUGCAAGUAUGUGAUAGCCCUUUCCAUUGCACUCAAGAGGAAGCAAGAUCAUUGAUUGAAUCGGUGCCAUCUUCACUGAAUAAACAAAGUAAUGAAGAAGCGCAAGUGUGGCACUUCCUUGGCAAGUGAUGGGGGCGGUUGAAGUCUGCCAUCAGGAUCCCAGUCUCUAAGGACUCCAAGCCUCCGUCUCCCCCAAGUGCUGGAGACAGGCAGAUCUGUGAGAAUCGGCUGACUUCCCAUUGAAACUUCCUUUUUUUCCCAAACAUUUUUGAGAUAUUGCAAGGCCUUCGGGAAGCCCUGAGUGAGAGUCUCGGUGAGAAAGACUCGAAGAUGUCCACCAGUAAUGCCAGAGACAUAAGCCUCUCUGAGUCUCAGCUGUGCGAGGAAGGGAGAAAACCCCAUCCUAGAUUUCUCUGCCACACGUCUGGGACCUAUUUGGACAGCAGCAGAGGCAUACAACACCAAGUACUCACAGAAAAGACGAGCUUCAGUUGCAACUGCAUGUCCCCCACUUUGCCCUCAGGAUGAAAGGAUGGCUGUGACCCCCAAUUUUUUUGUUGUUGCUUUUGGAUCCUAAGCUAAGUAUGAAGAAAACACCCAAAAUCCUUCUGCCUAGAUUAUGGGCAAGGAAGUGAUGGGCACAUAUCUACCCCCUGCCAGGCCACACACACAAACCCUGACACUCUCCUGGGUCAGCUCUCCUGCUGCUAGUUUGGUUUUGUGUGUGUGUGACCAGCGCUAUCAACACUCACAGCGAGAGGGAUGAUGGGGAGCUUGUCCCCUGAAAGGCCAGGUAGGUUUCAGAUUUAGGAUUAUUUAAAGAAGUAACUGGAAACUAAAAGUGUAACAUCUAACAUGGGUGGGUGCGACCACUCAAAAAUAAAUUAGAAAAUUAGCACAGAAAAGUGCCUCCUGACAAGUGGGUGACAGGAGGUUAAAUAUAAAGUAGCAUCUGUUAGGAAGAAAACUAGGUAAAAAGUAUACAUGUAUACAAAUAGAACACAAAAUGUUAACAAACUGAGGAAGGCAGUUUAUUAGAGUGGUGGGCAUCUGAAUGAUUGUUUAAAAGUCUUGUCGAUGUUGUAAUACAGUGAGUAUAACAAAUUUAAAGUAACCCAAAUUGAUGGCUUUAUAGCAAGUGAUGGUUUUUUGCUUGAGCUAUAAUAAAAACAUCUUAACCUAAA